CUCAAUUGCGUCUGUCAAACCCGGGCAAAACCUGGGGCGGUCCUUCUCUUUGCCUCUGCCUAAUUGGUCCUUUCCCUAUGGAGAGGUGGGGUCUCCUAAGAGAGCCUCCUAGGCCAUUGCUCUACAGCGCUGUCAGUUGUCGCUGAAAGAGGGACGGCGGCUCGAUUAGGUAGAGCGCGCGCCUGGGCUCCGGUGUCACGUGCUGAAGUCUGGAGAGUCACCUGAUUAGUGAGAGUCAAUCUUCUAAAACCACUUCCGCCCUAACCUAGUUGCCAUGGUAACAGGGCCUCCCGCGGAGGGCGGGGGACCAGCUUGGCACCAAGGAGUCAGGGAUGGAUGGUCUGUUUUGCCCGAGUGUUCGCAUCCACUUACCAAAAGGCCGUGCGUUAUGGUUGAGAAGGGAGCCGCCACCGUGAGAGCACGGAGACCGGAGAUCCAUCGAGCAGCUCUUCAUCGAUCAACUCAGACCCACAAAUCCACGCCCCUUUUAGCUUCUAGUACUAGUAAGCUUAGCCACGACGUGUGCCAGCCACUCAGGAGGCUGUCUCACCUCCGCGGGUGGGUUGCUUACGCUCUGCCUAGAAAGACUUUUACUGCAGGCAUUUACCACACACAAACUGCCACUUUGCCUCUCUGAACAAACAUGCGCACAUGAAUUCCUCACCCAGAGGACCUUGUCUGAUUCCUCCCUGGAUCCACAUUGCCUGCGGAGAAUAAGGAAAUGAAGGUGAAGGUACAGCUCAGGCGCCCUCUCUUUCCUGAGGACUGCUUUGAUCCUAGGAGCAGCUCUGACUCAUUCAUUUUGCAGGAUAUUGAUCCCCCCCCCUUUAGAGUGUGAAUUUCUCCACCACCUGGACCGAUAUAGCAGAAAGAACACAGUGUUCAGAGAAGCGAGCAGUUUGGGAUUCUGAAGGCCACCUUCGAGCGAUGUCACUGAGCAGGUUGAAAUGAUUUGACUGUCCGGGCUGUCAUUCAGCCUACAACAAAAGUAACAAGAAAAGAGUCUGUGGUCCAACAAGCUGGCUCAGCAGGUUGAGGAUCUGAGUUCCAUCCCUGGAACCCACCUGGCAGAGGGAGAGAACUCAUCCUCAUAAGUUGUCCCCUGACUCGCGGGAGCACACACACAAACAUCAAUACAUACAUAUAAAUGUACAAAAGAAAAAUGGGCCCACAGAGGGAACACAGAAACACUUCGUCGUCCUUCGGGGCUCCCUUCUGUCCGCUACUUUUGUUGCUUGAUUCACUCAAACACACCCAGAGAACUCCUCCGCUAGGUCCCAGGAAAUCAGACCCUUCCCGAGCCAGCUCCUUGGAGAAGGGUCCAAUAAGGGAAGAGUCACGAGCUGAGCUACUACUCGUCUUUGUACCUAGUGCUGAAUGAAACCCAAGGACAGUGGCGCCCAGACAGACAGACUUCGCAGUGGCGGGGACAGCUAAUCCAGGGUUCUGAAGAAGCGAUGAGAGGGGAGAGCGCGCUUCGGCAAAGGCCAUCUUCCCACAAUCCUUCACGGGGUUCAGCGCCUCGCAGGCUGCCUGCUAGAUACGGGAAGUGCCUCCCUCAAAUGCAUGGCCCUUCUCAGACUUCUCAGCCCGCGUCACUCAAGCCCCAGAGGGAAACUCAGCUUGCUGCCUGCAAAGUAUUAAAGAAAAUGCAUCUCAGUCAUGGCGGAUAGAACCUCGGAAGCAGCACGUGUUCAAGAAACACGUCCGGUAAUUAUUUUCACAUAUGCCGUUUUAUCCUGAAACACUUUGUCUUCUUUGGAACUUUGCAAUGUGACCAUUUCAACAUGAAAAAAUCGUUCAGCCGGGCGUUGGUGGCGCACGCCUUUAAUCCCAGCACUUGGGAGGCAGAGGCAGGUGGAUCUCUGUGAGUUCGAGACCAGCCUGGUCUACAAGAGCUAGUUCCAGGACAGGCUCCAAAGCCGCAGAGAAACCCUGUCUCGAAAAAGAAAAAA